UACGUAGGGUCCAAGCGUUAUCCGGAAUCACUGGGCGUAAAGCGUGCGUAGGUGGUUUGUUAAGUGUGAUGUUAAAGCGUGGGGCUCAACCCUGUCGUUGCAUCACAUACUGGCAGACUAGAGGACAGCAGAGGCAAGUGGAAUUUGUAGUGUAGCAGUGAAAUGCGUAGAUAUUACAAGGAACACCAAUGGCGAAGGCAGCUUGCUGGGCUACUCCUGACACUGAGGUACGAAAGCGUGGGGAGCGAACAGG
rnacentral:rRNA from 1 species